UCGAACGAGUUAGGAAGUUUUCGGAUGGAAGUACUUAGUGGCGGACGGGUGAGUAACGCGUGGGAACCUGCCCUGUACCGGGGGAUAACACUUAGAAAUAGGUGCUAAUACCGCAUAAGUUCACAUGAGAAAAACUCCGGUGGUACAGGAUGGUCCCGCGUCUGAUUAGCCAGUUGGCAGGGUAACGGCCUACCAAAGCGACGAUCAGUAGCCGGCCUGAGAGGGUGAACGGCCACAUUGGGACUGAGACACGGCCCAAACUCCUACGGGAGGCAGCAGUGGGGAAUAUUGCACAAUGGGGGAAACCCUGAUGCAGCGACGCCGCGUGAGUGAAGAAGUAUUUCGGUAUGUAAAGCUCUAUCAGCAGGGAAGAAAAUGACGGUACCUGACUAAGAAGCCCCGGCUAACUACGUGCCAGCAGCCGCGGUAAUACGUAGGGGGCAAGCGUUAUCCGGAUUUACUGGGUGUAAAGGGAGCGUAGACGGCAUGACAAGCCAGAUGUGAAAACCCAGGGCUCAACCCUGGGACUGCAUUUGGAACUGCCAGGCUGGAGUGCAGGAGAGGUAAGCGGAAUUCCUAGUGUAGCGGUGAAAUGCGUAGAUAUUAGGAGGAACACCAGUGGCGAAGGCGGCUUACUGGACUGUAACUGACGUUGAGGCUCGAAAGCGUGAGGAGCAAACAGGAUUAGAUACCCUGGUAGUCCACGCGGUAAACGAUGAUUGC
rnacentral:rRNA from 1 species